UACGAAGGGAGCUAGCGUUGUUCGGAAUCACUGGGCGUAAAGCGCACGUAGGCGGAUGUGUCAGUCAGGGGUGAAAUCCCGGAGCUCAACUUCGGAACUGCCCUUGAUACAGCACGUCUUGAGUCCGGAAGAGGUGGGUGGAAUUCCUAGUGUAGAGGUGAAAUUCGUAGAUAUUCGGAGGAACACCAGUGGCGAAGGCGGCUCACUGGUCCAUUACUGACGCUGAGGUGCGAAAGCGUGGGGAGCAAACAGG
rnacentral:rRNA from 1 species